rnacentral:rRNA from 1 species
AGCGAACGCUGGCGGCGUGCCUAACACAUGCAAGUCGAACGUGAAAAGGGAAACCUGAGUAAAGUGGCGUACGGGUGAGUAACGCGUAGGUAAUCUACCCCAGAAUCUGGAAUAACCUGCCGAAAGGCGGGCUAAUACUGGAUAGAGCGAGGGAACUCGUAAGAGAGUUUUUCGGGAAAGGGAGCCCGCAAGGGCCUUCGUUCUGGGAUGAGCCUGCGUCUCAUUAGCUAGUUGGUAAGGUAACGGCUUACCAAGGCGAUGAUGAGUAGCUGGUCUGAGAGGAUGAUCAGCCACACUGGGACUGAAACACGGUCCAGACUCCUACGGGAGGCAGCAGUGGGGAAUCUUGCGCAAUAGACGAAAGUCUGACGCAGCCACGCCGCGUGAGUGAAGAAGGCCUUCGGGUUGUAAAGCUCUGUCGGAUGGGACGAACAUCUUCAUAGUGAAUAGCUAUGAGGACUGACGGUACCAUCAAAGGAAGCACCGGCUAACUCCGUG